rnacentral:misc_RNA from 1 species
CGAAAUGCGAUAACUAGUGUGAAUUGCAGAAUUCCGUGAAUCAUCGAGUCUUUGAACGCACAUUGCGCCCCCUGGUAUUCCGGGGGGCAUGCCUGUCCGAGCGUCAUUGCUGCCCAUCAAGCACGGCUUGUGUGUUGGGUCGUCGUCCCCUCUCCGGGGGGACGGGCCCCAAAGGCAGCGGCGGCACCGCGUCCGAUCCUCGAGCGUAUGGGGCUUUGUCACCCGCUCUGUAGGCCCGGCCGGCGCUUGCCGAACGCAAAUCAAUCUUUUUCCAGGUUGACCUCGGAUCAGGUAGGGAUACCCGCUGAACUUAAGC